rnacentral:rRNA from 1 species
GACGAACGCUGGCGGCGUGCUUAACACAUGCAAGUCGAACGGAAAGGCCCUGCUUUUGUGGGGUGCUCGAGUGGCGAACGGGUGAGUAACACGUGAGUAACCUGCCCUUGACUUUGGGAUAACUUCAGGAAACUGGGGCUAAUACCGGAUAGGAGCUCCUGCUGCAUGGUGGGGGUUGGAAAGUUUCGGCGGUUGGGGAUGGACUGGCGGCUUAUCAGCUUGUUGGUGGGGUAGUGGCUUACCAAGGCUUUGACGGGUAGCCGGCCUGAGAGGGUGACCGGCCACAUUGGGACUGAGAUACGGCCCAGACUCCUACGGGAGGCAGAAGUGGGGAAUAUUGCACAAUGGGCGGAAGACUGAUGAAGCAACGCCGCGUGCGGGAUGACGGCCUUCGGGUUGUAACCCGCUUUCGCAUGUGACGAAGCGUGAGUGACGGUAAUGGGUAAAGAAGCACCGGCUAACUACGUG